AAUCUUGCGCAAUGGGCGAAAGCCUGACGCAGCCAUGCCGCGUGAAUGAUGAAGGUCUUAGGAUUGUAAAAUUCUUUCACCGGGGACGAUAAUGACGGUACUGGGAGCAGAAGCCCCGGCGAACUUCGUGCCAGCAGCCGCGGGAAUACGCAGGGGGCUAGCGUUGCUCGGAAUUACCGGGCGUAAAGGGCGCGUAGGCGGACAUUUAAGUCAGGGGUGAAAUCCCAGGGCUCAACUCUGGAACUGCCUUUGAUACUGGGUGUCUUGAGUGUGAGAGAGGUAUGUGGAACUCCGAGUGUAGAGGUGAAAUUCGUAGAUAGUCGGAAGAACACCAGUGGCGAAGGCGACAUACUGGCUCAUUACUGACGCUGAGGCGCGAAAGCGUGGGGAGCAAACA
rnacentral:rRNA from 1 species